rnacentral:tRNA from 1 species
GUCCCCGUAGCUCAGAUGGAUAGAGCGGCUGCCUCCUAAGCAGCAGGUCAUGCGUUCGAAUCGCAUCGGGGACGCCA